GUAAAUAAAUAAGAUAACCAAUUUAAAAAAAAACAGCAGGAUGGACAGCCAAGGAGGUAAGACAAUGUCAACUUCAGGACUAGACAGACACCUCUCUCUCUCUCUCUCUCUCUCUCUCUCUCUCUCUCUCUCUCUCUCUGUGUGUGUGUGUGUGUGUGUGUUUGUGUGUUUGUGUGUAUGUGUGUGUGUGUCUUUCUGUGUGUGUACAGUAUAUAUAAAUCUUAAUUCUUGACUAUUAGACUGUCCCUUUAUUUGUGAUAUAUUGUAAUCUUUUCUCACUAUAUUAUUUAUUGGGGGUGUUCCUUAUAGAAUCUUCAGACUUAGCUAUCUUUAAGGCUUUGUUUUUAAUUAUGUGUGUAUGUGUUUCUGGUUGUGGUUUAUGCACAUGAAUACAGGUCCCCAAAGAUGCCAGAGUCAUCAGAUGCCCCUGGAGCUGGAGGUCCAGGUGGGUGAGAACUAAAUGCUGGCCCUCUGCAAAUGUGGCUUCCUCAAAAGCAAUUCAAGAGCUGAAUGAAGCAGUUGGCUGUAAAUAACCAAGACCGCACUGAAAGAACAGAUUCAAUAGUAUUCUUGCGCUACCUUAUCUCUUACCCUACCCCACCUACCACCCCAUCCCACCCCACCCCAACCCACCCCAUCAUACCACACCCUACCCCACCCCAACCCUGGAGCAGAGAAUACAAAGGAAGGCAAGAUGAUGAAGGCCACCGUGAGCUACACAGCCAGUCACGGGCAGAGGUAGAGCAAAGUUUGGGCUUCUCAACACAGAACCAACCCAUGCCACCUGCUGUCCUCCUUAACCAAGACGACAGAGAAAAUACGGAACAUGCCAGAUGUCAUUCCAAACAAUGAACUCACUGACUCCAUAGGAGACAGUGUACUUCUGGGGACAGCGCUUCCCUGGUUGGCAGUUGAGAAUCUGUGUGGAUUGACAGGUGCUUUUCUAGGCAGAAAGAGUGACACAGACCUGCCCUAGGAUAACGGCCUCUGAGACAGCAGUUAGCUACGGAAACUCAGGACUCAUGGAAUCAUGAUGUAAUGAGAUGAAAUUCUACAGCCAACAGCCUGAGGCCAGGGUGGUUCAUCACCUGCUUAGGAUGAUGAACCCUACACCACAUGAAUAAAUGGUCAGUUAUAAAUGGCUCUCUUCCUUAA